rnacentral:rRNA from 1 species
CAGGUCUUGACAUCCUCUGACAACCCUAGAGAUAGGGCGUUCCCCUUCGGGGGACAGAGUGACAGGUGGUGCAUGGUUGUCGUCAGCUCGUGUCGUGAGAUGUUGGGUUAAGUCCCGCAACGAGCGCAACCCUUGAUCUUAGUUGCCAGCAUUCAGUUGGGCACUCUAAGGUGACUGCCGGUGACAAACCGGAGGAAGGUGGGGAUGACGUCAAAUCAUCAUGCCCCUUAUGACCUGGGCUACACACGUGCUACAAUGGAUGGAACAAAGGGCAGCGAAGCCGCGAGGUGAAGCCAAUCCCAUAAAACCAUUCUCAGUUCGGAUUGCAGGCUGCAACUCGCCUGCAUGAAGCUGGAAUCGCUAGUAAUCGCGGAUCAGCAUGCCGCGGUGAAUACGUUCCC